UGCCCAAAUAAACUCUCAGCCAUGCUUAGCAA
rnacentral:piRNA from 1 species